GAUGAACGCUGGCGGCGUGCCUAAUACAUGCAAGUCGAGCGAACAGACGAGGAGCUUGCUCCUCUGACGUUAGCGGCGGACGGGUGAGUAACACGUGGAUAACCUACCUAUAAGACUGGGAUAACUUCGGGAAACCGGAGCUAAUACCGGAUAAUAUAUUGAACCGCAUGGUUCAAUAGUGAAAGACGGCUUUGCUGUCACUUAUAGAUGGAUCCGCGCCGCAUUAGCUAGUUGGUAAGGUAACGGCCUACCAAGGCAACGAUGCGUAGCCGACCUGAGAGGGUGAUCGGCCACACUGGAACUGAGACACGGUCCAGACUCCUACGGGAGGCAGCAGUAGGGAAUCUUCGGCAAUGGGCGAAAGCCUGACGGAGCAACGCCGCGUGAGUGAUGAAGGUCUUCGGAUCGUAAAACUCUGUUAUUAGGGAAGAACAAAUGUGUAAGUAACUAUGCACGUCUUGACGGUACCUAAUCAGAAAGCCACGGCUAACUACGUG
rnacentral:rRNA from 1 species